AGAGUUGAUCCUGGCUUAGGAUGAACGCUGGCGGCGUGCCUAACACAUGCAAGUCGAGCGAGAAACUCAUGACCAAUACUCGGUGCGUGAUGAGCGGAAGCGGCGGACGGGUGAGUAACGCGUAGGCAACCUGCCCCUUGCAGAGGGAUAGCCUCGGGAAACCGGGAUUAAAACCUCAUAAUGCGUAACGGAGACAUCUCCGAUACGCCAAAGAUUUAUCGGCAAGGGAUGGGCCUGCGUCUGAUUAGUUAGUUGGUGGGGUAACGGCCUACCAAGGCAGCGAUCAGUAGCCGACCUGAGAGGGUGAUCGGCCACAUUGGAACUGAGACACGGUCCAAACUCCUACGGGAGGCAGCAGUGGGGAAUAUUGCACAAUGGGCGAAAGCCCUGAUGCAGCAACGCCGCGUGAAGGAUGAAGGCCCUUGGGUCGUAAACUUCUGUUCUAAGGGAAGAUAAUGACGGUACCUUAGGAGCAAGUCCCGGCUAACUACGUGCCAGCCGCGGC
rnacentral:rRNA from 1 species